GAUAAACGCUGGCGGCGUGCCUAAUACAUGCAAGUCGAGCGAACAGACGAGGAGCUUGCUCCUUUGACGUUAGCGGCGGACGGGUGAGUAACACGUAGGUAACCUACCUAUAAGACUGGGAUAACUUCGGGAAACCGGAGCUAAUACCGGAUAAUAUUUCGAACCGCAUGGUUCGAUAGUGAAAGAUGGCUUUGCUAUCACUUAUAGAUGGACCUGCGCCGUAUUAGCUAGUUGGUAAGGUAACGGCUUACCAAGGCAACGAUACGUAGCCGACCUGAGAGGGUGAUCGGCCACACUGGAACUGAGACACGGUCCAGACUCCUACGGGAGGCAGCAGUAGGGAAUCUUCCGCAAUGGGCGAAAGCCUGACGGAGCAACGCCGCGUGAGUGAUGAAGGUCUUCGGAUCGUAAAACUCUGUUAUUAGGGAAGAACAAACGUGUAAGUAACUGUGCACGUCUUGACGGUACCUAAUCAGAAAGCCACGGCUAACUACGUG
rnacentral:rRNA from 1 species